ensembl:snoRNA SNORD115 Small nucleolar RNA SNORD115
GGGUCAAUGAUGAAAUCUUUCCCUUGUCUCUAAAGAGGUGCUGUCUUAAAAGUCAUGCUCAAUAGAGUUUCGCUGAGGAUC